rnacentral:lncRNA from 1 species
UUCAUCCUAUCCAACCACACAAACCAAAACCCGAAUCAUUUUCAUUAUCUCUAUUCUCUCCUCUCUUCAUCCUUUACUUUCUCCUCUUUCUCGCACAUCAUCGUCGGAGAUACCGACAGCACCAUGCUACUCACCAUGUCGGCACCACGCGCAGACACUGAAGAUGCUACCAUCGCAGUAGAGUCACCCUGAAGCAGCCAACUGUGAUGGCGCUCAAGGCGCCACCACCGCAGUGGCGUUCUCUAAAACAGCCAACCUAUUUACGGGGGCUGGGCAGGGCUGUAGCCCCCCCCCCCCCAAAACUCAAGUCCAAAGGUAUUUUUCAAAUUUUUUUUUUUUUUAGAAAAACAGUUUUUUAUGUGUAAAAUUUUUUCCGGCAUAGCAACCCGAUUUAAAAUUUUGUAGUCUGAUCUUGGAUCUAAUUCUGGAUCUGUUCCUGCAGCCAACGCUGCUGCGGAGGGACAUCGCCAUUCCCGACCUUCUAGCAGCAAUGUAUCUCACACACAGAGCCGGUCCUAUGGUUUUC